AGAAAUAUGUCUGACAAAAGAAUUACUUUGAUAGAGUAAACAAUAGAGGUAAUCAACCCUCUUAUUUCUA
rnacentral:tRNA from 1 species